UGCAGUCGAGCGGUAACAUUUCAAAGCUUGCUUUGAAGAUGACGAGCGGCGGACGGGUGAGUAAUGCUUGGGAAUAUGCCUUAUGGUGGGGGACAACAGUUGGAAACGACUGCUAAUACCGCAUAAUGUCUACGGACCAAAGGGGGGGAUCUUCGGACCUCUCGCCAUUUGAUUAGCCCAAGUGAGAUUAGCUAGUUGGUGAGGUAAUGGCUCACCAAGGCGACGAUCUCUAGCUGGUUUGAGAGGAUGAUCAGCCACACUGGGACUGAGACACGGCCCAGACUCCUACGGGAGGCAGCAGUGGGGAAUAUUGCACAAUGGGCGCAAGCCUGAUGCAGCCAUGCCGCGUGUGUGAAGAAGGCCUUCGGGUUGUAAAGCACUUUCAGUAAGGAGGAAAGGGAUGUAGUUAAUAGCUGCAUUCUGUGACGUUACUUACAGAAGAAGCACCGGCUAACUUCGUGCCAGCAGCCGCGGUAAUACGAGGGGUGCAAGCGUUAAUCGGAAUUACUGGGCGUAAAGCGUUCGUAGGCGGUUGAUUAAGCAAGAUGUGAAAGCCCAGGGCUCAACCUUGGAACUGCAUUUUGAACUGGUCAACUAGAGUACUGUAGAGGGUGGUGGAAUUU
rnacentral:rRNA from 1 species